rnacentral:lncRNA from 1 species
GGAAUCUGGAAUUCGGUCUCUGAGAGCCGGGGGCUGUUUGAACUUGGCUGGGUGCUCCCCCGCACCGUUUUGUUAAGCGGCCGCUUCCCACUUGUCGGAGUUUCUGCUUCUUUCGCUUUCCUCCAGUCUCUUGGCAUAAUGUUUUCCAUGGUGAUACGAUGUCUCCUGUUCAUCACACCAAACCUCAUGAAAGACCCAAACUGGGCUGGUCUUCAGUGUCUUCCCUGAGGAUAGUCAUCGUGAGGGGACCACAGCAGGUUCAGGCUCUGGGGACCCAUGUUUGCCUGGAUGACCAGGAUAAGUUUUGGCCCUGGAUUUUGUAUUCCAGAAAUCCCUAGGAAUUGUCUGGGCAAGACAGACACUGUAAAGAAGAAGUGAGGAUUAAACUAAGUGAAACAAUGUCAGAAUAAGAACAUGUCUCUGGUUGUGCAACUGGGUAUCACAUGACUUUUAAGCAAUUAGAACUAGGUAAUGCAAUCAUUUGUUAUCCAAUUAAAUUUGUAAGGCCAGAAAUGCAUGGAUUAGCACUUUAGCUUUUGCUUCAAAGCAAUUGUUACUUAGAUAAAAAGACAUUUAAAAUGAAAUAUGAAUUUUGAUAAAAAUGUAGAGGUAUAGAUCAUAUUCAAUACUCCUUUUUAAAUGCUUGAAAAAUGCGUGUUUUCUAGUGUAUGCAUAAUGUCACAAAUGGUAAGAUUUCCUUCUUUUUUUAAGGCUGAAUAACAUUGUAUUGUAUGCAUCUGCCACAUUGUCUUUCCUCAUUCAUCUGUUGAUGGUAAUUUAGAUUGUUUCUAAAUCAUGACUCUUGUGACAGUGCAGAUGCAGUAAAGAUGACGGUGCAGAUAUCUCUUUGAGAUCCUGAUUUCAAUUUGGAUAUAUACCUAGGAGUAGAAUUAUUGGAUCAUAUAGUAGAAGAAAUAGAAAAUAUGAACAGAUCAAUAGACAAGUAAAGAAAUUGAAUCAGUAAUCAAAAACCUCCCAACAAAGAAAAGCCCAGGACCAGAUGGCUUCACUGGUGAAUUCUAUCAAACAUGUAAAGGAUUAAUACCAGUCCUUCUCAAACUCUUCCAAAAAGUUAGAGAGAAGCAACACUUCCAAACUCAUUGUACAAGGCCUGCAUUACACUGAUACCAAAACCAGAAAAAGACACUACAAGAAAGCAAAACUGCAGGUCCAUAUCUCUGAUGAACAUAGGUGUAAAAAUCUGUAAAAAAAUUCUAGAUGCAAAAUU